rnacentral:misc_RNA from 1 species
UUUAUGUGCAAGUUUUGUAGAGAGAUCGAAAUCGAUUAACAUUAUAUGUCCGUUCUCUUGAAUCAUCACGUUUUCAGGCUUUAAAUCUCUGUAUACAAUCCCUGAUCCAUGUAGAUGCUCCAAUGCCAACACUAACUCCGCCGCGUAGAAUCUUAUAGUAUCGUCUGAGAACAUCUUUUCAGUUUGUUUUUUCCGGAGAGA